UUGAGUGUCAACAGAGUUCUGCCAAAGUAUGGUAGAUGAGAGACUGGACGAAUACAGAUUGUUUUAAGUGUUAAUGGAGUUCUGCCCAAGUAUAGAUGCUGAGAAGAAAGCUCUGUGUCAACAGUGGACUAUUUGACAGAAGUUACCAAACAGAGAAGUUACAAGAGAUUAGUUUCCUCUGUAAAGAUUUUACAAGGCACUAAAUAAUGAUAAUAAUAUCUUUGAUUCCAAUGUCAAAAGUUAUCUACAGGGGAAGCAAUGUAUUUCUGAAAUGCUGAUUAACAUCAAAAAGUCAAC